rnacentral:rRNA from 1 species
AUUGAACGCUGGCGGCAGGCCUAACACAUGCAAGUCGAGCGGAUGAGGGGAGCUUGCUCCUGGAUUCAGCGGCGGACGGGUGAGUAAUGCCUAGGAAUCUGCCUGGUAGUGGGGGAUAACGUCCGGAAACGGGCGCUAAUACCGCAUACGUCCUGAGGGAGAAAGUGGGGGAUCUUCGGACCUCACGCUAUCAGAUGUGCCUAGGUCGGAUUAGCUAGUUGGUGGGGUAAAGGCCUACCAAGGCGACGAUCCGUAACUGGUCUGAGAGGAUGAUCAGUCACACUGGAAGUGAGACACGGUCCAGACUCCUACGGGAGGCAGCAGUGGGGAAUAUUGGACAAUGGGCGAAAGCCUGAUCCAGCCAUGCCGCGUGUGUGAAGAAGGUCUUCGGAUUGUAAAGCACUUUAAGUUGGGAGGAAGGGCAGUAAGUUAAUACCUUGCUGUUUUGACGUUACCAACAGAAUAAGCACCGGCUAACUUCGUG